rnacentral:sRNA from 1 species
GCCGUGGCUCCGGCGUCGGCGGGGGCAGCAGCAGCUGAGGCAGCAGCUGAGGCAGCCGCGACGGCCGCGCCCCCCCCUGCUGACCUGGAUUAGGCCCAGCAGCUCCGUGGCCGCCGCCGCCCCGCGGGGGGGCGGGGUGGGGAAGUGCUUCGUCUCCCCGCCCCCCCCCCAGCGCUGCCUCGCAGGAGGCAAACGCCGCGACCCCAGCGGAGCCCGCGGCCCAGCCUUGAGCCCCCACCCCCGGGGGCUGGCAUGAGCGGCCCCUCGGCGGCACCGUGGGGCGGUGGAGUCGCCUCCGCCUGAUCCCUGGCCUGCCGCCGGACCACACCUCGCCAACCGAGGCGGACCGCGGAGCGUGCGAACGACCCCACCGCUACUUUCUCCUCCCCCAGAUCACGCACCCCAGCUCCGGAAGAUGGGGAACUGCCUCAAAUCCCCCACCUCGGAUGACAUCUCCCUGCUUCACGAGUCUCAGUCAGACCGGGCUAGCUUUGGCGAGGGGACGGAGCCGGAUCAGGAGCCGCCGCCGCCAUAUCAGGUGUGUGAUCUGUAUGAUGGACUUUGUUUAUGGGGACCCAAUUCGAUUUCUGCCGUGCAUGCACAUCUAUCACCUGGACUGUAUAGAUGACUGGUUGAUGAGAUCCUUCACGUGCCCCUCCUGCAUGGAGCCAGUUGAUGCAGCACUGCUUUCAUCCUAUGAGACUAAUUGAGCCAGGGUCUCUUAUCUGACUUCAAGUGAACCACCGUUUUGGUGGUUUUGAUCUUUUGUCACUGAGCCCAAAGAGCCAGGGAUUAGGAAUUAAGAUCAUGCACAAAAGUUUCCUUAAAAUUCCUGGAUGGCUGCAGAUGUUGGGGGGAAAAGUAUGUGAUAUUUUAGAAACUUAGUGGGAAAAGUAGGGUGGUAUUUUUAUGUAAAGCCUUGACCCAAUGUUUAAAAAUAUAAUUGUAUU